GUGCUCACUUUGGCAGCACAUAUACUAAAACUGGACCGAUACAGAGAAGAUUAGCAUGGGCCCUGUGCAAGGAUGACACCCAAGAGCCUUAGAGAAUUAACUUUGUUUU